ensembl:lncRNA
UCAAUGUCAAGGUUCAACUUUAUUAAAUUUGUCUUUGGCACAGUGCAUCAUUGCUUUCUUAACAUACCGAGUACAAAAGAACAAAAAACAAAACCACAGACACAAACACAAACAGACAAACCAACAAUUUAACAUCGAGAACAUGGAGCUUUGUAGACUUAGAUUGCCCCUUACUGUAUAACAUAGAAAUCUACAGUAUGGAUAAAGUGCAAGUGUUUAUUGCACUAGAACUUAUGGAUAUUGUGCUGUGUACUAAAGUGCUUAGUUCUAAAGUUCCAUGCGCUAAAGUGCUAUCUGCUAAAGUGCACAUAGCACUUUCAAACAUACAUCAGGAAGUGUUGUGUAGGUCAGUUGUUAUUAACCAUUUGGUGAAAAACCUUUACAGUAUCUAUACAGUAUAUGUCUAUAAAAUGCAGUUUGCAGCUGUAACGUAAGCGUGUUUUCUGUCUCAGUCACAGUGCGUAUAACACAAAGUCAGGGCCACUACAUAAUCAAUAGAAAAUAAAAUAUAAAUAAUAGACAGGACUUUCUGAUAACAUUGCCAAAUGUUAUCAUGAAAUGGGAGGUGUCGAGUCUCAUUUAACUUAAGUGAAAUGACAUUAUUACUAUCAUAUACAUAUAUUAGAUAUACCAUUAUAAUAUACAUAUAUAGUAUAUAUACUAUUAUCAUAUGCAUAUAUACUAUUAUAAUAUACAUAACCGAUACAUAACCAAGCAGGGUUUUACACCUCAUAAUAUUAUUAACCAUUUCAAAUGACGAAUGACUCAUGCAUGAACAGCAUGAUGGGGGGAUGGUGGAACAUGGUGAUGUGUUAUUGAUAUGUUAGAUAUGGUUAAAAGUGUUAUUACUUGAUGAAGAUAUGUUUUACAUGUUUAUAGAUCUUUGGAAGAAGUAAUCCGUACAGCUGUUAAUUGUCUUUGUUACUGUAGCAUGGUAUCGGAAUAGGCCUACCUACGAUAAUAUAACAUAACUAGUAGUAACUAACUACUUAAUUACUUUAGCUACUCUCUUAGUUGUAACUUAUUAUAACUAUUCUCUGAUUUAAUGUGUUCCACUUUAAACCACAUCCACACACAAGACCGCCUUGUUUUACUUUAUUUCAGCAGCAUAGACCGUAGUACAAUAGAACAUAUAAUAAUAUAACAACCAGUACAAUAUUAGAUAUAGUAAACUGUACAGAGACUCCAGUAGAACCAGUAUAAUAUCAGUACACUGUACAGAGACUCCAGUAGAACCAGUGUAAUAUCAGUACACUGUACAGAGACUCCAGUAGAACCAGUAUAAUAUCAGUACACUGUACAGAGACUCCAGUAGAACCAGUAUAAUAUCAUUAACAGUUCAAACUGUUUUUACUCGUGACGGCAUCAAGAUGGACGCCCGUCGUGAUUGGCUCCUGGGGAUCGCCGUGGCGACCGGUCGUUAGUGGGGUCCUACACAGCAGUGGCCUAUAAAACUGACAGGCAACUUGAGGACGACUGGCUGUCAAUUCAUAGGUCAUCACCCUGCGCCCCGACAAGCUGUCACUCAAACACAUGCUGUCACUCAAACACGCACUGUCACUCAAACACACAAUGUCACUCAAACACGCUGUCACUCAAACACACGCUGUCUGUCACUCAAACACACGCUGUCACUCAAACACGCUGUCACUCAAACACACUGUCACUCAAACACACUGUCACUCAAACACGCUGUCACUCAAACACACUGUCACUCAAACACGCUGUCACUCAAACACUCACUGUUGUGUCACUCACUCCUUUCCCGCCACAGAGGAUCAUCUCCAGAUGAGGUAAUCUGCAGAUAACGGACCAAUCAGCACAGAGGGCCGACAGGAAGCGGCCCGGGGGCCCCCAGGUGAGUGCGGCGCCCCCUGCAGGUAGCAGCACUUCCACUGGAAGGAGGAGCUUCCACAUGGAGUUGCUGUUACAGGCAGUGAGCGCCAUGGGCCUC